GAUGAACGCUGGCGGCGUGCCUAAUACAUGCAAGUCGAGCGAACAGAUGAGGAGCUUGCUCCUCUGACGUUAGCGGCGGACGGGUGAGUAACACGUGGAUAACCUACCUAUAAGACUGGGAUAACUUCGGGACACCGGAGCUAAUACCGGAUAAUAUCUUGAACCGCAUGGUUCAAUAGUGAAAGACGGUUUUGCUGUAACUUAUAGAUGGAUCCGAGCCGCAUUAGCUAGUUGGUAAGGUAACGGCUUACCAAGGCAACGAUGCGUAUCCGACCUGAGAGGGUGAUCGGCCACACUAGAACUGAGACACGGUCCAGACUACUACGGGAGGCAGCAGUAGGGAAUCUUCCGCAGUGGGCGAAAGCCUGGCGGAGCAACGCCGCGUGAGUGAGAAAGGUCUUCGGAGCGUAAAACUCUGUUAUUAGGGAAGAACAAAUGUGUAAGUAACUAUGCACGUCUUGACGGUACCUAAUCAGAAAGCCACGGCUAACUACGUG
rnacentral:rRNA from 1 species